GAUCAACGCUGGCGGCGUGCCUAAUACAUGCAAGUCGAGCGAACGGACGAGAAGCUUGCUUCUCUGAUGUUAGCGGCGGACGGGUGAGUAACACGUGGAUAACCUACCUAUAAGACUGGGAUAACUUCGGGAAACCGGAGCUAAUACCGGAUAAUAUUUUGAACCGCAUGGUUCAAAAGUGAAAGACGGUCUUGCUGUCACUUAUAGAUGGAUCCGCGCUGCAUUAGCUAGUUGGUAAGGUAACGGCUUACCAAGGCAACGAUGCAUAGCCGACCUGAGAGGGUGAUCGGCCACACUGGAACUGAGACACGGUCCAGACUCCUACGGGAGGCAGCAGUAGGGAAUCUUCCGCAAUGGGCGAAAGCCUGACGGAGCAACGCCGCGUGAGUGAUGAAGGUCUUCGGAUCGUAAAACUCUGUUAUUAGGGAAGAACAUAUGUGUAAGUAACUGUGCACAUCUUGGCGGUACCUAAUCAGAAAGCCACGGCUAACUACGUG
rnacentral:rRNA from 1 species